rnacentral:tRNA from 1 species
GGCCUGAUGGUCUAGGGGUAUGAUUCCUGCUUUGGGUGCAGGAGGUCCCGGGUUCAAAUCCCGGACAGGCCC